rnacentral:rRNA from 1 species
UACGAACUGUGCAAACGUUAUUCGGAAUCACUGGGCUUAAAGGGUGCGUAGGCGGCUGUCUAAGUAGGGUGUGAAAGCCCCCGGCUCAACCGGGGAAUUGCGCCCUAAACUGGACGGCUGGAGUGAGGCAGGGGUGUGUGGAACUUCCGGUGGAGCGGUGAAAUGUGUUGAUAUCGGAAGGAACGCCGGUGGCGAAAGCGACACACUGGGUCUCAACUGACGCUGAGGCACGAAAGCCAGGGAGCAAACGGG